CUUGCACAAAAUUUCAUAGCUAGCGUUCUACUUAUGGAAACCUAGAUCUCUUCAUUUUCAUGUUCCUUUCAUACCAUGCAUUACCAAGGAUGAUUAAAGAAAUUCCUAUGAUAACAUGUACGGGUAUUCUGCUCACAUAAAAUAUUAACAAAAAGCAACUUGUUUCACCCUGAAAUUCAUUAAGGAAGAUUCUCCCAGCAAAUCAGAGAAGAUUUUUGCAUUUUUAGGAAUGUCAGGUGCACUUGAAUACAAGAGGUUUAAAAGAUACAGUUCAAUUUCAAGAAAGUUCCCAGCCAGCACUAUGUUUACAUAUAUAUAGAAGUGCCCGGGACAUUGAAUUAGCAACUUGCAUGCUAGUACUUUGCUGGUAGUAGUAGUGGGCUUCUCAGUUUAUAGGCUUUGCAUCAUUUUGUUGUUAUUUGUUCACCAAUCUUUUACCAAUAGCUUCGCUAAAACAUGUUUUACCUCGGGUUCUCAAGGCAGCACUCAAGAAAAAAAAAAAAAAAACCUAUCUUGCACUUUCUUCAAGAGGUUG